rnacentral:rRNA from 1 species
UAGGGAAUAUUGGACAAUGGGUGCAAGCCUGAUCCAGCCAUGCCGCGUGCAGGAAGAAGGCCUUCUGGGUUGUAAACUGCUUUUUGCCAGGGGAUAAAAUUUCUUUGCGAAGAAAAUUGAAGGUACCUGGUGAAUAAGCCACGGCUAACUACGUGCCAGCAGCCGCGGUAAUACGUAGGUGGCAAGCGUUGUCCGGAUUUAUUGGGUUUAAAGGGUGCGUAGGCGGUUCCAUAAGUCAGUGGUGAAAUACAAUAGCUUAACUAUUGAGGUGCCAUUGAUACUGCGGAACUUGAGUACAGACGAGGUAGGCGGAAUUGACGGUGUAGCGGUGAAAUGCUUAGAUAUCGUCAAGAACACCGAUAGCGAAGGCAGCUUACUAGACUGUAACUGACGCUGAGGCACGAAAGUGUGGGGAUCAAACAGGAUUAGAUACCCCCGUAGUCCCUGAGCGGGCUGGCAAGGCGCAU